GACAGAGGUGGCGAGCGUUGUUCGGAAUUACUGGGCUUAAAGGGCGAGUAGGCGUCCCGACAAGUCAGAUGUGGAAGCUUUUCGCUUAACGAAAACAGUGCAUUUGAAACUGUCGGGAUUGAGUCAGUGAGGGGAGGGCGGAAUUCCUGGUGUAGCGGUGAAAUGCGUAGAUAUCAGGAGGAAGGCCUGUGGCGAAGGCGGCCCUCUGGCACUGUACUGACGCUGAGGCGCGAAAGCGUGGGGAGCAAACAGGAUUAGAUACCCUGGUAGUCCACGCCUUAAACGGUGGGCAUUAGGUGUAGGGCUCGUAAGGGUUCUGUGCCGAAGGGAAACCAUUAAAUGCCCCGCCUGGGGAGUACGGCCGCAAGGUUGAAACUUAAAUGAAUUGACGG
rnacentral:rRNA from 1 species